rnacentral:lncRNA from 1 species
CACGUAUCUUCUCCGAACAAUUAAAAUGACAAAAGACAAAUAUACUUAAUUCACGGUCUAAUAAAUUAAUUGAUUAAGGAUCAACCUCCUUAAAAUAGUCCCAUAGGGAUGUAGUUACCAGAGAAUGAUUUUACUUCUUACAUUUCCUUUCUUUCACCUAUUUCCUUUUCUACAACUUCUGUGUUAAAUUCAUGUAUUGAUCUUCAAGCAUAACACAAGAAGGUAGAGCAGGAAAAGUAUAAUAGUGGUAAUAUUGCAACACUCUAUAUUUAAUGAAUCUUUAGAUCCUUAGUUAUUGAUUAGGGAAAAAAGUAUAGUAUUGUAGAAUAUUUAAAGACAUUGUUCUAAAAGAAAUUAUUAGUAAUAUAACAUUCUUCAACUUCAUAUCAACGACACAGUUAGUAUCAAUUAUGAAAAAAUCAUAGUAGUUACGAAUCUUUGGAUUUUUUGAAACUAUUUUAGAAUUUGUACAUCCUUAGUUAUUGAUUAGGGAACAAAAGUAUACUUUCAUUGAAUAUUGACAUUAUAAGUUCUGAUUUAGAGGGAAAAAAUAAUAGCGAAGAAAGUUUGGACUGUACCUCAUGCCUUUGAUGUAUUUUUGCAUACUUGUUUGUCCACACCAAUACAAUUAGAUUAGGGUUCAUACAAGUUAGAAAGAGUCAAAUAUAUAAGAGUAAGGCGUAAAUGAUAAAUAUAGAGUGAAUACCUGAAACAGUGGUCGGGUGAUGGUGUUCUUUGGAUGUCUUCAUUGGCGUCGAAGGAAACGGAAUUUGUAUAAGCAUAGAGAAAGAAGAAAUACAAAAAGAAGGCAGAUGAGUUGAGUUUAUAGAAAUAAAAUAAAAAAGUUAGAAGUCUGGGGGAAAUUGAACAGGGAAAAGGGGGUUGAAGAUUUUUUUCGAAGUGGUGCGUGUAUAAGCAGUUGGGUAUGCGAAGCAUUUUCGUUCUUCUUCAAUUUGAGGUUUAAGUUGCUGAAAAACCUAAAGCGGAGGAAAUUCAAUUGUUGUUAUUUAAGAGGAUUCGUGUCGACUAGGCCCAUUGAGGGGUAAAUGCUUGGAAAAAUAAUAUUAUAAUGCCGCUCUUAAAAUA